rnacentral:rRNA from 1 species
AUGGACGGGUCCAAGGGCCCGAGCGACGGGGACGCGGCGGAGGACGCGGGGGACGGUAACAAGGACAGGACGCCCGGCGGGCAGGAAGCAGGCGCCGGCGCCUCCGAUGCCGUUCUCGCCGCCGGGUCGUUCAGGAUCACCGCCAGCGACGGCAGGGCGCCCUGGGCGGCGCCGGGGGCCAAGCCCAAGGUGGUCUACCACGAUCCCAGCAUCCCGCGCCCGCAGGACGUGUACCUCAUCAGGGUCAACAACUGCAACUCGCCCUUCGAUCACGUCUGGCUGGAGCGCAGCGAGGACGGCACCCGCCCUAUCCACCCCUUGGAAAAACUACCUGUGGAACAGUUUAUUGACAGAAAUGUUCCUGAAAGUGAACCAGUAAGGCCAGCUGAUGUAGACGAUACCCCGUUUACGCUAGUAGAAGACCUGAAAGGAUUGACAGAGUUAGUUAACAAGUUGAAGGAUGUAAAUGAAUUUGCUGUCGAUUUGGAGCACAAUCAGUAUAGGUCAUUCCAGGGUUUGACCUGCUUGAUGCAGAUUUCAACAAGAACAGAGGACUUCAUUAUCGACACCCUUAAGCUACGCAUAUACAUCGGUUCCUACUUGAAAGAACUUUUCAAAGAUCCAACCAAGAGAAAGGUAAUGCAUGGGGCAGAUCGUGAUAUAAUGUGGCUCCAGCGGGACUUCCGAGUAUAUGUGUGCAAUCUUUUUGACACAGGACAGGCUUCAAGGGUUUUACAGAUGGAACGAAACAGCCUAGAACACCUAUUACAUCAUUUCUGUGGAGUCACAGCGAAUAAAACAUAUCAAAAUGCAGAUUGGAGGUCAAGGCCACUCUCUGAUGAAAUGAUCAAGUAUGCGAGAGAAGAUACACAUUAUCUGUUGUAUAUAUAUGACUUGAUGAGACUUAGACUACAAAGGGAGUCCACAUGUGAAAACGAUCUUCUUUUAGAGGUUCAAAAGCGCAGUAAUGAUAUUUGCUUACAGUUGUAUGAAAAGGAGCUGCUGACAGAUAAAUCUUACCUCCACAUAUACGGGUUGCAGGAACAUGAAUUGGCCGCAGCUCAGCUGGCUGUUGUUUCUGCUCUACAUCAGUGGAGAGAUUAUAUAGCUCGUGAACAAGAUGAGAGCACUGGUUAUGUAUUGCCAAACAAGGCUUUGAUUGAGAUAGCAAAGAAGAUGCCUACAACUACUGCAGAUUUGCGAAGAAUCGUGAAAUCAAAAUAUCCAUGUGUUGAGGAUAAUUUUGACCUAAUCUUGGACAUCGUAUGGAAUGCAACUGAAAAUUCUGGUGCCUUUGAAGCAAUAGCUGAGCAACUAAAGAAAGUACGACUUGGUGAGUUAGACUUGAAAAGUAUAGUGGACGCUGGUGAAGUUAUCGAAAUGGCUCCUUCGGAUGCUGAUAAUGUUGGGAUCAAUUUUGAUCCAGCUGAUCAAUAUUCUUUAGCUCCUUCAUCAACUGCAAAUAUCAGGGUUACUUCUAACAGUAGGGAUAGUCUCAUGACUGAUGCAACUUUGACUGGUAGCAUCUGGCUACAUGACAAGACCCCAACCAUACCAUCAUCUGAAAAUAAGACGUCUUGGAGCUUAUCAGGCCUGACUAGACAAUCAAACAAGGAAGCGAUGAGCAAUAAUAAGCAGGAAACACAGGCUCCUGUUCAAGAACUGAAGAGACCUACGCCUUUUGGAGCUCUGGUAGGCAAUUCAACAUCUGGAAGACAGACAGAUUACUUUGGAGGAUUUUCAAAUGAGCAGGCUAAAAGCGACCUUGAUCAGAUUCAGUCUUCAGCUUAUUACUACCCCCAGUUCGCAGACUACAGCAGUUUAGCUGGAUGGAGCCAUCAUGAACCCGAAGGCACACAGGCCGCUGGGUUCAUGUCCGGUUGCUAUUACGGGCACGGCUACCAGUCGAUAAACCAAAGCGGUACAGGAACACGCCAGCCUGCCGCUAGAAAUAAUGGAGGGGGUUUCCAGGACUUGAAGAAGCAACAACCUCCCCCUCAUUCGGGUAACUGA